rnacentral:rRNA from 1 species
UACGAAGGGGGCUAGCGUUGCUCGGAAUCACUGGGCGUAAAGCGCGCGUAGGCGGCUUUGUAAGUCGGUUGUGAAAUCCCCGGGCUCAACCUGGGAACUGCAUCCGAGACUGCAUAGCUAGAGUAUGGGAGAGGGAAGUGGAAUUUCAGGUGUAGCGGUGAAAUGCGUAGAUAUCUGAAGGAACAUCAGUGGCGAAAGCGACUUCCUGGACCAAUACUGACGCUCAUGUGCGAAAGCGUGGGGAGCAAACAGG